GUGAGCGAAGAAGUAUCUCGGUAUGUAAAGCUCUAUCAGCAGGGAAGAAAAUGACGGUACCUGACUAAGAAGCCCCGGCUAACUACGUGCCAGCAGCCGCGGUAAUACGUAGGGGGCAAGCGUUAUCCGGAUUUACUGGGUGUAAAGGGAGCGUAGACGGAGAGGCAAGUCUGAUGUGAAAACCCGGGGCUCAACCCCGGGAGUGCAUUGGAAACUGUUUAUCUGGAGUGCCGGAGGGGUAAGUGGAAUUCCUAGUGUAGCGGUGAAAUGCGUAGA
rnacentral:rRNA from 1 species